CAGAGAUUUCCGAAUGGGGAAACCCAGCAUGAGUUAUGUCAUGUUAUCGAUAUGUGAAUACAUAGCAUAUCAGAAGGCACACCCGGAGAACUGAAACAUCUUAGUACCCGGAGGAAGAGAAAGAAAAUUCGAUUCCCUUAGUAGCGGCGAGCGAAACGGGAAGAGCCCAAACCAACAAGCUUGCUUGUUGGGGUUGUAGGACACUCUAUACGGAGUUACAAAGGACGACAUUAGACGAAUCAUCUGGAAAGAUGAAUCAAAGAAGGUAAUAAUCCUGUAGUCGAAAAUGUUGUCUCUCUUGAGUGGAUCCUGAGUACGACGGAGCACGUGAAAUUCCGUCGGAAUCUGGGAGGACCAUCUCCUAAGGCUAAAUACUCUCUAGUGACCGAUAGUGAACCAGUACCGUGAGGGAAAGGUGAAAAGCACCCCGGAAGGGGAGUGAAAUAGAACCUGAAACCGUGUGCUUACAAGUAGUCAGAGCCCGUUAAUGGGUGAUGGCGUGCCUUUUGUAGAAUGAACCGGCGAGUUACGAUUUGAUGCAAGGUUAAGCAGUAAAUGUGGAGCCGUAGCGAAAGCGAGUCUGAAUAGGGCGUUUAGUAUUUGGUCGUAGACCCGAAACCAGGUGAUCUACCCUUGGUCAGGUUGAAGUUCAGGUAACACUGAAUGGAGGACCGAACCGACUUACGUUGAAAAGUGAGCGGAUGAACUGAGGGUAGCGGAGAAAUUCCAAUCGAACCUGGAGAUAGCUGGUUCUCUCCGAAAUAGCUUUAGGGCUAGCCUCAAGUGAUGAUUAUUGGAGGUAGAGCACUGUUUGGACGAGGGGCCCCUCUCGGGUUACCGAAUUCAGACAAACUCCGAAUGCCAAUUAAUUUAACUUGGGAGUCAGAACAUGGGUGAUAAGGUCCGUGUUCGAAAGGGAAACAGCCCAGACCACCAGCUAAGGUCCCAAAAUAUAUGUUAAGUGGAAAAGGAUGUGGCGUUGCCCAGACAACUAGGAUGUUGGCUUAGAAGCAGCCAUCAUUUAAAGAGUGCGUAAUAGCUCACUAGUCGAGUGACACUGCGCCGAAAAUGUACCGGGGCUAAACAUAUUACCGAAGCUGUGGAUUGUCCUUUGGACAAUGGUAGGAGAGCGUUCUAAGGGCGUUGAAGCAUGAUCGUAAGGACAUGUGGAGCGCUUAGAAGUGAGAAUGCCGGUGUGAGUAGCGAAAGACGGGUGAGAAUCCCGUCCACCGAUUGACUAAGGUUUCCAGAGGAAGGCUCGUCCGCUCUGGGUUAGUCGGGUCCUAAGCUGAGGCCGACAGGCGUAGGCGAUGGAUAACAGGUUGAUAUUCCUGUACCACCUAUAAUCGUUUUAAUCGAUGGGGGGACGCAGUAGGAUAGGCGAAGCGUGCGAUUGGAUUGCACGUCUAAGCAGUAAGGCUGAGUAUUAGGCAAAUCCGGUACUCGUUAAGGCUGAGCUGUGAUGGGGAGAAGACAUUGUGUCUUCGAGUCGUUGAUUUCACACUGCCGAGAAAAGCCUCUAGAUAGAAAAUAGGUGCCCGUACCGCAAACCGACACAGGUAGUCAAGAUGAGAAUUCUAAGGUGAGCGAGCGAACUCUCGUUAAGGAACUCGGCAAAAUGACCCCGUAACUUCGGGAGAAGGGGUGCUCUUUAGGGUUAACGCCCAGAAGAGCCGCAGUGAAUAGGCCCAAGCGACUGUUUAUCAAAAACACAGGUCUCUGCUAAACCGUAAGGUGAUGUAUAGGGGCUGACGCCUGCCCGGUGCUGGAAGGUUAAGAGGAGUGGUUAGCUUCUGCGAAGCUACGAAUCGAAGCCCCAGUAAACGGCGGCCGUAACUAUAACGGUCCUAAGGUAGCGAAAUUCCUUGUCGGGUAAGUUCCGACCCGCACGAAAGGCGUAACGAUUUGGGCACUGUCUCAACGAGAGACUCGGUGAAAUCAUAGUACCUGUGAAGAUGCAGGUUACCCGCGACAGGACGGAAAGACCCCGUGGAGCUUUACUGUAGCCUGAUAUUGAAAUUCGGCACAGCUUGUACAGGAUAGGUAGGAGCCUUUGAAACGUGAGCGCUAGCUUACGUGGAGGCGCUGGUGGGAUACUACCCUAGCUGUGUUGGCUUUCUAACCCGCACCACUUAUCGUGGUGGGAGACAGUGUCAGGCGGGCAGUUUGACUGGGGCGGUCGCCUCCUAAAAGGUAACGGAGGCGCUCAAAGGUUCCCUCAGAAUGGUUGGAAAUCAUUCAUAGAGUGUAAAGGCAUAAGGGAGCUUGACUGCGAGACCUACAAGUCGAGCAGGGUCGAAAGACGGACUUAGUGAUCCGGUGGUUCCGCAUGGAAGGGCCAUCGCUCAACGGAUAAAAGCUACCCCGGGGAUAACAGGCUUAUCUCCCCCAAGAGUUCACAUCGACGGGGAGGUUUGGCACCUCGAUGUCGGCUCAUCGCAUCCUGGGGCUGUAGUCGGUCCCAAGGGUUGGGCUGUUCGCCCAUUAAAGCGGUACGCGAGCUGGGUUCAGAACGUCGUGAGACAGUUCGGUCCCUAUCCGUCGUGGGCGUAGGAAAUUUGAGAGGAGCUGUCCUUAGUACGAGAGGACCGGGAUGGACAUACCUCUGGUGUACCAGUUGUCGUGCCAACGGCAUAGCUGGGUAGCUAUGUGUGGACGGGAUAAGUGCUGAAAGCAUCUAAGCAUGAAGCCCCCCUCAA
rnacentral:rRNA from 1 species